rnacentral:rRNA from 1 species
AGCUUGCUCUUCUUGGAUGAGUUGCGAACGGGUGAGUAACGCGUAGGUAACCUGCCUGGUAGCGGGGGAUAACUAUUGGAAACGAUAGCUAAUACCGCAUGAAAUGGAUUAUCGCAUGAUAAUCGAUUGAAAGGUGCAAAUGCAUCACUACCAGAUGGACCUGCGUUGUAUUAGCUAGUUGGUGAGGUAACGGCUCACCAAGGCAACGAUACAUAGCCGACCUGAGAGGGUGAUCGGCCACACUGGGACUGAGACACGGCCCAGACUCCUACGGGAGGCAGCAGUAGGGAAUCUUCGGCAAUGGACGGAAGUCUGACCGAGCAACGCCGCGUGAGUGAAGAAGGUUUUCGGAUCGUAAAGCUCUGUUGUAAGAGAAGAACGAGUGUGAGAGUGGAAAGUUCACACUGUGACGGUAUCUUACCAGAAAGGGACGGCUAACUACGUGCCAGCAGCCGCGGUAAUACGUAGGUCCCGAGCGUUGUCCGGAUUUAUUGGGCGUAAAGCGAGCGCAGGCGGUUAGAUAAGUCUGAAGUUAAAGGCUGUGGCUUAACCAUAGUACGCUUUGGAAACUGUUUAACUUGAGCGCAAGAGGGGAGAGUGGAAUUCCAUGUGUAGCGGUGAAAUGCGUAGAUAUAUGGAGGAACACCGGUGGCGAAAGCGGCUCUCUGGCUUGUAACUGACGCUGAGGCUCGAAAGCGUGGGGAGCAAACAGGAUUAGAU